rnacentral:rRNA from 1 species
AUGAACGCUGGCGGCGUGCCUAAUACAUGCAAGUCGAGCGAACAGACGAGGAGCUUGCUCCUCUGACGUUAGCGGCGGACGGGUGAGUAACACGUGGAUAACCUACCUAUAAGACUGGGAUAACUUCGGGAAACCGGAGCUAAUACCGGAUAAUAUAUUGAACCGCAUGGUUCAAUAGUGAAAGACGGUUUUGCUGUCACUUAUAGAUGGAUCCGCGCCGCAUUAGCUAGUUGGUAAGGUAACGGCUUACCAAGGCAACGAUGCGUAGCCGACCUGAGAGGGUGAUCGGCCACACUGGAACUGAGACACGGUCCAGACUCCUACGGGAGGCAGCAGUAGGGAAUCUUCCGCAAUGGGCGAAAGCUUGACGGAGCAACGCCGCGUGAGUGAUGAAGGUCUUCGGAUCGUAAAACUCUGUUAUUAGGGAAGAACAAAUGUGUAAGUAACUAUGCACGUCUGGACGGUACCUAAUCAGAAAGCCACGGCGAACUACGU